rnacentral:rRNA from 1 species
CCUACGGGUGGCAGCAGUGGGGAAUAUUGGACAAUGGGGGGAACCCUGAUCCAGCCAUGCCGCGUGUGUGAAGAAGGCCCUCGGGUUGUAAAGCACUUUCAGUGAGGAAGAACGCCUGGUGGUUAAUACCCAUCAGGAAAGACAUCACUCACAGAAGAAGCACCGGCUAACUCCGUGCCAGCAGCCGCGGUAAUACGGAGGGUGCGAGCGUUAAUCGGAAUUACUGGGCGUAAAGCGCGCGUAGGUGGCUUGAUAAGCCGGUUGUGAAAGCCCCGGGCUCAACCUGGGAACGGCAUCCGGAACUGUCAAGCUAGAGUGCAGGAGAGGAAGGUAGAAUUCCCGGUGUAGCGGUGAAAUGCGUAGAGAUCGGGAGGAAUACCAGUGGCGAAGGCGGCCUUCUGGACUGACACUGACACUGAGGUGCGAAAGCGUGGGUAGCAAACAGGAUUAGAUACCCCAUAGUC